rnacentral:rRNA from 1 species
UACGUAGGGCGCGAGCGUUGUCCGGAAUUAUUGGGCGUAAAGAGCUCGUAGGCGGCCUGUUGCGUCCGCUGUGAAAUCCCAGGGCUCAACCCUGGGCGUGCAGUGGAUACGGGCAGGCUGGAGGCAGGCAGGGGAGAACGGAAUUCCCGGUGUAGCGGUGAAAUGCGUAGAUAUCAGGAGGAACACCUGUGGCGAAAGCGGCUCACUGGACCAUAACUGACGCUGAUGCACGAAAGCUAGGGGAGCAAACAGG